AGUGAACGCUGGCGGUAGGCCUAACACAUGCAAGUCGAACGGCAGCACAGUAAGAGCUUGCUCUUACGGGUGGCGAGUGGCGGACGGGUGAGGAAUACAUCGGAAUCUACUUUUUCGUGGGGGAUAACGUAGGGAAACUUACGCUAAUACCGCAUACGACCUACGGGUGAAAGCAGGGGAUCUUCGGACCUUGCGCGAUUGAAUGAGCCGCUGUCGGAUUAGCUAGUUGGCGGGGUAAAGGCCCACCAAGGCGACGAUCCGUAGCUGGUCUGAGAGGAUGAUCGGCCACACUGGAACUGAGACACGGUCCAGACUCCUACGGGAGGCAGCAGUGGGGAAUAUUGGACAAUGGUCGCAAGCCUGAUCCAGCCAGACCGCGUGGGUGAAGAAGGCGUUCGGGUUGUAAAGCCCUUUUGUUGGGAAAGAAAAGCAGCAGGUUAAUACCCCGCUGUUCUGACGGUACCCAAAGAAUAAGCACCGGCUAACUUCGUG
rnacentral:rRNA from 1 species